ensembl:miRNA MIR138-2 microRNA 138-2
CAGCUGGUGUUGUGAAUCAGGCCGACGAGCAGUGCAUCCUCUUACCCGGCUAUUUCACGACACCAGGGUUG